GCGGGCGUUGCAAAAAGGUAUUGCCACAGCCUUCCAAGCUGUUGUUACGGGUUCGAUUCCCGUCGCCCGCU
rnacentral:tRNA from 1 species